rnacentral:rRNA from 1 species
UACGGAGGGUGCAAACGUUGCUCGGAAUCAUUGGGCGUAAAGCGCACGUAGGCGGUCCAGCAAGUCGGGUGUGAAAGUCCAGGGCUCAACCCUGGAAAGCCGGUGGAUACUGCCGGGCUAGAGUCCGGGAGAGGCGAGUGGAAUUCCUGGUGUAGCGGUGGAAUGCGCAGAUAUCAGGAGGAACACCUAAGGCGAAGGCAGCUCGCUGGAACGGUACUGACGCUGAGGCGCGAAAGCGUGGGGAGCAAACAGG